UUUAAUGUUUAGGUUCAGUGUUGACUUUAUGAGGAGGGUUGGGGGCAAUGCAUUGUUCUCAACAUUUUGGACAGUAGAACUCUUUAAUGGAGGGGUUUGUUAGUAAGCAUCCUGCCACUGUGACAAAAUAUCUGAGAUCAUGAUGUUAUAAAGACAAAAGGUUUAUCCUUACGCACAGUGCCUCGCUGACUGGUGCUAUAGAAAAGCAGCAUGUAGGGAGGAAGUCUGUAGUGGUGAGACUUACUGGGGUCCUCUGAAGAUUCCACCAUCUCCCCCAAAACACCAGAGGCUGGAGACCAAACUUACAACAGGUGCACCUCUGGGAGACUUUCAAGAUCCAAAUUGUAACAAGAGGAAUCCCUCAGGACUAAGGUUACAGGGCAACAACUUGGGAAGCACCGCUGCCUUCAGUAGCGUUUAAUACCUCUAUACUUCAGUUUUUCAUGUGAAAAUGCAAUUAAUAUAUCAGAUUCUGCAGAGGAGUCAAUGAAGCCUGUCUUUUUCUUAGAGAUGGAGAUUUAGUUCUGGGUGUAUAUAUGAAAGGGCCUAGGUGAUAACAGUUGUCUAGUUGAUGUUAUUUUCCCCCUCUUCUUCACUGAAGGAUUAUAUGCAUAAACCUGCACCCAGCAGAAGCAAGUCCUUAUUUGCCCAGUGACAGAGCUUGACUUUACACACAGCAUGCAUUUAUAAGCAAUUAAUUAGAUAAUAUCCGCGGCCUGCUAGCAUAGGCUUAAUUGCUUACAGUAUGCUUUUCCGUUUGGAAAGCGUAUUCAGCCAUGUGAUCGCAAUCUAGCCUCAUCCAGCCCUGUGGAAGAGCAGGUAGUAUUAUUCAUUCCACUUAACUGAUGCAGAGAGCUUCAAAUACAUGCUUACCCAAGGUUAUGCAGCUGGUUACAAGUGGGCUUUAACUCUGAUCUGGGUUUCUCGCUGCUGUACCUCAAUCCCCACUCCACUUUCUACGAACUUAAUCCUCAUCUUUAAUGCCAGUUGAUCAGGCAGAACCUCUUGGGCUGGUCAGUGGAGAUGUGCUUCUGUUUUCUCUUUGAAAGAUGAAAAAGAAAAAAUAAUGCAAACAUUUCCUUUAGUAAAAUUCUUCAAGCGUUUUGUGUGUUGUCAACAGAGUCCCUUGGGAAGGGAGCCUUGGCUAGAACAGGAAGUUCCAGUGGGGAAUAAAACUGUUUCACUCAUAUAAAGCUGUGUUCUGGAUGGACAUUGGAACUUGGUGGGCAAAAGAAAGCCUAUUCACCCCCUGGAUCUGCGCUGAGACUGGCUGGUUGCUACUUAGAUCCUAACUCCGCAGUACACAGUACCCGGGAACUAGAACAGCACUCACAUGCCCAACUCUCCUUGGAAAUUGACCCCUCUCCAUGGUCUCAGGCAGCGUAGGAGCAGAUGGGAAGCAAUACCCCGUCCUCAAAAGCAGAGUUAUUUUGUGAGUCCCUGAAACCUUUAAAAUAUCCAUUACUUGGGAGUAGUUCAGAAACAAGAGUCAAGAAAUUGCCCGCUCCAAAAGUUUUAUCAAGGGAAGGGAGAAAAUGCAAGCAGCUUGAGAACUCAGAGCUGCCAAUUUGAAAGAGCAAUUUGCCUACAGCUGGAUUUAAUUAACAAGCCUGGGUCAAAAAGGAAGUCGAUCAUAAAAGUGCGAAUUGGAUGGAGGUGGAGGAACGAGAUGGUGACAUUCGUUUUCGGAGCUGGUAUCUUCUCACUGGAGAGUCUUCCUCCGUUUUCAGAAAGCCUAUUCCAGUGAUCUUAAUAAAAGAUUAAACUUGGAAGGAAAAAAUGCUUGGCCUUAUAGUAACCUAGUGUGUGUUUGAUAAAUUAUCUUUUGGGGGACACUAAACCAUGCUUUAUUCUCUCUUUAUACCACUAAGUAUAUUCCAUGCCCCAAAAGUAUUUUGCUAUUCCAGCUUCAGUACAGAAAGAAGAAGUGUAAAAGGGCCCAGGUAUACAGCAUUCUCCUGAAUCCUCUCUGAAUUCUUUUGGUUUGAGUGUUGCAUUAUCCCAAGAUCUUUUUUGUUUUUUGUUGUUUAUUUUAGAAAAGCCAAGAAGAACGAUAAUUUACAACUACUUAAAUACAUCAUGCAUUCAGUAAUAUAUUUUGUGGGGUGAAGAGCUUGUAUGCAAAGUCACAGCCUGAUGAGAAUUAACACAGCUGAGUAGGAAAUUCUGUACUAACUGUGCUCCUUUCUUCUUGCCGACUUCUGAAGGGGGGUCAUGGAGCUGCCUUCACAUGUGGGACCCUGUAGAUCUUGACAUCUUUCUUCUCUGCUGAUUCUGAUUUUGUGACAGAAUGAAACAGAAGUCUGAACACGAAGCGAGAGGCUUCCGAAGCUCUGGAGAUUUUUCUAAUCCUCCAAAUGUUCUCCAAUAAAAUCCUCCCUUAACGCCGUUGGUGCUGCCACAGCAUUCAUAACUGGGGGAAGUCUUGACAAGAAAAUGAGCCGUGGAAAACUACACAUAAACAAGUGAGUUCUCAUUUCACUGAAGACGUUUUGAAAUCACCUGAGAAGCUUUAUUGGAUGAACCAUAAAAUACAUAACAGAUCUCUCAUAACAUCAGGUUAUACACUGCUAAAGUGUCACAGGUGUCUAAAACUCAAUAAGUCCAGAGCAGAGUUCAUUAGGAAGUAGCCAUACGAACACAGUAGAAUAUUAAAAUCACAUGCAGUUUCUUUGGGGCCAGAAUGAAAUAGUCUGUAGUUUCCUUACUUAUUGACAAAUAGAGAUGAUAGAAACUAACAGUCCACUGAUCUUAGCAGAAAAUCAGAACAAGAAGUAAAAUUGCUUGGGAAAAGAAUCAGAGGCUGAGUUAGUAAAAUCCCAUUUUAUUUCAGCUUCUACGUGAUGUAAAAUCUCCCACUUCCAAAAGGUAUUUAUAACCUAAUCCCUGGAGGCUAUGAAUGUUACCUUGCAGGCAAGGAACUUUGCAGAAACAAUAAAGUUAUUAAGGACCUUGCCAUGUCAAUACCAUGCUGGUCUAUCCAGGUGGACUCCUGGCAAUCUGAGGGAGAGGGGAGGGGAGAGGGAGAGACACAGAGACAGAGACACAGAGAGAAAAUGCUAUUCUGCUGACUUUGGGAAUGGAGGGGGCCACAAGCCCAGGGAUACAAGUGGCUUCCAGAAGCUGGAGAAGGGAAGAGAUUCUCCCCAAGAGCCCAAGGUGGAGCAUAGCCCAGCCUUCUCCAUGACUGGAUACCAGGAAACCCAUUUCAGACUUCUGACCUCCACGAGUGAAAGUAUAGCUCACCCCGUUCUGGACAUCCCUGCCACCCAGCAUCUUCCUCCUGGAGUACAGCAGCUCCUCUCGGAGUCUGCGUCCCUCCCUCCCUGAACAGAACGUUCUGCAGUGGGCAUUGAGGAGGCCCUGGCAUGCAGCAUAGAAUCUCAUUCUUCCUGCAGCCUAGAGCUACCUGGGGAUGGUGAGUGUGUACAGGGGAUGAUAUGUGAGAAAAAUAAUUAGAAAUAACUGCAAAAAGGGUAGGCACGGCGCGGUACAAACAACCUGCUGUGAAAACACAGAUGAAGCGGCAAUUAAUUUCUGUCAUUUUCUAGCAAGGGUGGGUGACAAAUAUCUUCACUCUGCUUGUUCUCGUCCCAUCUGUUUCUCUCACUUCUAAUGGGGACAAUUUGGGAUCCGUGUUGUCAGUUUCUGCUACCAAAAUGUGAAGCUGGAGGAUGAAAUGUAUUCUGAUGUCAACCACAGAAGAUGCUGUAUUUCGUGUUAUGAAAGAACAGCUAGCAAGCCGACCUUCACAAAGAGCAACCGUCCCCAUUCCCUGCUGCCUGUUACUGCCACAGACAGCCAGCACUGGUUCAUUUCUGUCUCCUCCAACACUGCCAUCCUUCCCAAGAUUUUCUAACAGUUUACUCCUGCUCUCUGACCAGUGCCACAUACCUGGCUGUUCUGGCUGCCUUACACUUCGGGUGGAGACAGCCUAUGCGCCAAGAUGACCUGUUUGCCAAUCCAUCUCAAAUUUAGAGACACUCUGUCUGAAAUGCCACCAUCUUACCUCUCAGCUCGAACUGUCUCGUCACAUCAUGUUUCUCUCUCUAAAUGUCUAGCUGAGAGGAACAAGCCAGGGGAGACUAAUUUACUCAACCACUAUUUGCAUAAAAAUCCUAGUUUAUGUUAUUACAAAAAAGAAUAAGAUUUGUCUGGCUCAUUUGCUGGUUGGAGAAGAAAAACACAGCCAUAAUUUUAAUAAGGGAUAAUUGUAUGGAGAAACCAGCAGCACUGCCUCAGGCAUUGAGUGAGGGCCAGAGAUUUGAGGUAAUCUUGAAGUUCAAGUUUGAAUUGGACAGAGGUAGGGAAAGAGAGAGGGAAAAAAACGAAAGGAAAAGUAGACACUGUAAUGGGAAGGGGCUGAGCCAACGUUGGGAUGAGAACGUCGUGGAUGAGCCUGAAGGUACAUGAGACACUGGGUGGAGGAGAAGAGGGAGAUUUCGGUAUUUGGGAGAAAAUGCCAGAGGGGCGGGAGGGAAAGGGAAGAUUUAAGACAGCCACACUAUUUUAUUUCCAAUUUUUGCCAUUGAGAAGUUGUUUUUAGAGUCAAAGGAACAAGUCAGUUGGAAUCAGAUCAGUGGGAUACAUGAGGAAGAACUAAAGAGUGGGAACUCAGUGUAGGAAAUUUCAACACGCCUUUGAAUCAGUGGGCGUCUCUCCAGUCUGUGUUGUUUUUAUGCACAGACACUGAAAAGCACAAGAGUUCUGGUUCUACAAUCAACCCACUGCUUUCAAGUAUCGUAAACGCUCAAGGUCCUAAUUUUUCAUAUUUCGCAGGAAAACAUGAAAAAAGAUGAUCCUUAAGAUUUCCUGUAGUUCUAAAGACUACAAUUAUUUUUAUAUUUUAAAAUGAGUCUGCUGCUCACUGCACUAGGCUGACACAAACUCCUCCAAGCGCAUAAGCAUUUCUUGGCCUUGCCAUUACAGAACUCUGGAUUUCAUUGUCGUAAUUUUUACAAUAACCUUUUUCUUUAUUACAAAAAUAAUACACAUAUAGUAUAGAAAAAUCUGAAAGAACAUUGUAAAACGAUAACAUGGUUAACAGUUGGUCUGAAGCUUUCAUUACAAAAGUCAAUUUCCUUGUGUAAGACUAUACUAAAUUAGUGACCAUUUAUUCCCAGUUCUAACAAGCUUGUGUGUGUAUGACAUCUACAGCCAAGAGAUUUCUACAUGAAUAACUACUGAGCACUUCACCCGGAUCAACACAUCUAGGCAGAGUUCAUUCUCCCCAAAAACUCGAUCAACCUAUAUUAAGUAAAAGCUCACAGAAUUAUGUCAAUACAAAUUUCAUCGCUGUGACUUCAAAUUAAUGCCUUCUUCAAGUUCUUUCAGAAAACACAUCCAAAUAAUAAUCAAAGCAUGAACGGGGCACUUUUCAGGGUAAAUCUUCAUGUGUUAACUUUAAACCUCAUAAUAAUAAUAAUACUCUGUGGUGGGUAUUUUGAUCCCAGUUUUAGAGGUAACAUUUCAGAGGUUGGGGAAAUUAAAUGACUUUAUUUCAUCUACUUUGCUAGUAAAUAUCAGAGUCAAAAUCUGAACAUAAAACUUCCUGGUACCAAACCUCAUAUUCUCACAACUACAUCAGCGUUUUACAAACUAUUCCCCAAAUAAUUCUAGUAUCCAGUAAGAUAAUGUUCCAUGAAAAAAGAUAAAGCUGCAUUGUCAGUUAUGUUUGAGAAACACCAUGUUGCAGGGAAUAAACAUGUUUAACGCAAUUCAAUGAUGAGUUUCUUAUUCUUAUUUGAUAGAGAAAAUCUCCGAAAGCUUGUUUUGAGCAGCACACUUUAAUUUGCAUAUAUAUCAUUUUUUAGUAUGCGGUGGGUGAAUGAUGCUUUGAGAAGCUUCCCCCGAUCAAAAGCACGGAGACUGGGACAGUGGAAAAUAAUCAUUUUUCAGAUUCAUGGCCAUAGUUGGAGUCCUUGUAGAUUGAGGGGAAUGAGUUACAUCUGAGGACCAAUGUCCACAUUUAACAUCAAUGUUCAUUUAUUUCUGAGCCAGAAAUAAAUCUGUAAAACUUUCCCAAGGGAUUAUUUUUCUUUACUGAGUGAGCCUCAGUUUCCUCAUUUGUAAACUAAUACUAAUAUAUAAUUAUUGUUAAUAGUGAUAGAAAGCCGAGUGUAGGAGGACAUUAAUUGUCUUAAAAUAUAACACUUUAGGACAAAAAAUACACUCCUGGCUUUUACACAACAGUCAUUGGACUCCCCUCCCCUUUUUUUUUUUCCUUUUAACUAGCAGAUUAACUUUUAAGGAAAUCAGUGUGAUGGUGGUGUGUAAAGGGUUUAGAAUAGGAUCUGCAUUCACUGAAUACAGUGGGGUGGCCCGUAACACUACACAGAAAUGUCUUCCUCCAGCCACUCCAGGGUGGGCUACAGCUUCUUCACGACUUCCGAUUAUUAUUCAUCUGAGAGACUUGGUUCAUUAACCCAAAGCGUACAUCUUCUAAUGUCGCUUGAGUGUAGCAGGUGCCUUGGAAUUUGACAAAGUAUGAUUAUACACUGUUUAUAGUGGCUGGACCGGGGAACUUGAAGUGAGUCACUUCGGAGCUAGCUAGACUCACUGAUUCUGAAGCGCUUACGGAGAAAGAAAGCUGAUCUUGCUGUCAGACCCGGGCCAAAUGGUGCCAUAGAUGGAACCGUCUGUUAUCCACAGCACUCCUGGGACAACAGGACCAUUCACUGAGCUAAGUUCUUUCCUGUACACUCCAAGUUAAAUAACCACUGCCUCCUAGGAACAUUACAUCUAAGCUCAAAAUAGUAGAAGAAAAAAUAAUCAAUUCCGAAUCUUUUCUUUAGGAUCUUAGUAACAGACACUGAUUUUUUGGUGGAAUCAGAUUAAUGGAACUAUAGCUCUUGAAUAUAUAUCCCUUUUAAAUCUUCAGGUGGGCCUUAAUAAUGUCUUUUUCUGGACUCUAAGCUUUUUAUGAAAUCGACAAAUAAAGAUAUUCUACCUGGUCAUGUCUUCUUUACCCUGUGUCAGUCGUAUUUUGCUCUGAGAGCAGUGGCUGGCUUUUAUAGUAAUUCAUGAUCUGGGACUCCAAUGAGAUUAUGCUAGUACAAUGACUCUCAACUGAGGAUGAGGUUACGCCCCGAUAUUUUUGGAUAAAGCAACUGAAAUAAGGUUUGAGAAUCCUACCUGCACCUAAGGGUAGAGAAGAAGGCUGCCACACAUCUUGCAACUCACAAAAUCCUCCUCCCCCAACAUAGGUUUGUCCAACCCUGAAAGUCUGUCAUGCCAAGACGGAGAAACCCUGGCUUCAUGGAAAGCAUUUUUGUGGUUUACAGACACUUUUAGGUAGAGAGAUAUUACUCCUGGCUGCGGGGUGCAGACCUGGGAACACCCUGUGCCGACUUGUCAGGAGAAGGGAAACGGCUGGACACACACGCACACGCACACACACACGAAGCUGCCUGACAUCAUUUUUCCAGACUUACAUGAUGUGCUAUUAAGGGAGAGAUUGCUGAAAAAUCCUCAUAUGUCAAAACAGUGUAAUGUGGAAUUAUAAACACAUUGUAUCUUUCCUAUUUUGGGUGAGAAUUAUGCAAAAGUGAUUUUAUAGGUUUAUGGGGACCAAACCUGCAGCAGUACUAUGAAACUAUGAAAGUCUGCUUUUAAAGUCACACAUUUUACAUAUCCCAGCAGACAGGAAAGUCUUGGUUUGAUGUUAACAACUGCGAAUUGUGACUAUAAAAGAAAAAUUUCUAAGCUCUAAUUAAUUUAAAAGGUAUUUUGUUCUACUAUGCUAAAAAACAAUUAUCUCCCCAUUCUAACUAUAGAAAAUAUUAUGGAAAUGGUCAUGUGAAGAGGUGGUCAAAAGGAUGCAACCAAAAGCCAGGCAUGAUGGUGCAUGUGCCUUGUAAUCCUAGCACUCUAGGAGGCGGAGGCAGGAGGACUGUAUGGUUGAGCCUAGUUUGGGCAAAUUAGUGACUUAGCAAGAUCCUGUGCAAAAACUAAAUUGAAUUAAAUCAGUUAGAAUACUAGGAAUGUAACUCAGUCAGAAGGUCCUGGGUUCAAUCUGGGGUAUUGUUCUUCCAUAAAAAUAUGUAACAGAAAAUGCUGAGGAAAAAAUGUGGAGGUAUAUUAGGGAAUUAACUGAUGAAGUAAAGUGUUAUAUUUU